GACGAACGCUGGCGGCGUGCUUAACGCAUGCAAGUCGAACGGAAAGGCCUUGCUUGCAGGGUACUCGAGUGGCGAACGGGUGAGUAACACGUGGGUGAUCUGCCCUGCACUUCGGGAUAAGCCUGGGAAACUGGGUCUAAUACCGGAUAGGAGCCAUUUUUAGUGUGAUGGUUGGAAAGUUUUUUCGGUGUAGGAUGAGCUCGCGGCCUAUCAGCUUGUUGGUGGGGUAAUGGCCUACCAAGGCGGCGACGGGUAGCCGGCCUGAGAGGGUGGACGGCCACAUUGGGACUGAGAUACGGCCCAGACUCCUACGGGAGGCAGCAGUGGGGAAUAUUGCACAAUGGGCGCAAGCCUGAUGCAGCGACGCCGCGUGGGGGAUGACGGCCUUCGGGUUGUAAACUCCUUUCGCUAGGGACGAAGCUUUUUGUGACGGUACCUAGAUAAGAAGCACCGGCUAACUACGUG
rnacentral:rRNA from 1 species